ensembl:lncRNA
UGAAAAGAUAUUCACAAUGCGUCCGUCGGGGUAAAAGGAUCAUGGAAGUGCGCAAGGCGGGCCGGGCAGUCCUCAUGUUCAUGGGUCUCAUCUGCUUUAUCGCUGCCUUCACCCUUAACACCCUGGCCGGCCAGGGAUCACGGAGUGGUAUUUUUAAGCAGAGUACGGAGGACGUGACCCUGAAGUACAGGACCCCACUGUCUCCAGCCACCUGGUCUCUGUUCGUGUGGGACUUCAUCUACGUCUGGUUCUUCUUCAUGUUCCUCUACUUCCUGGCCGGCCUCUGCAGAAGGGGUGUGUAUGAGUGGAUGUACACCACUCCUGCUGUGCUGCCCUAUGGGUUCCACGCCAUGAUGGUCCUCAACAUGAGCCUGAACAUCACCUGGCUCUUCCUCUACCACCAAGAGAUGCUGCUGCCAUCCUUCAUCAUCUCAGCUCUGAUGUCGUUAACAGACUACCUGCUGCUGUUCUUCUCC